rnacentral:rRNA from 1 species
GGACAGAAGGGAGCUUGCUCCCGGAUGUUAGCGGCGGACGGGUGAGUAACACGUGGGUAACCUGCCUGUAAGACUGGGAUAACUCCGGGAAACCGGAGCUAAUACCGGAUAGUUCCUUGAACCGCAUGGUUCAAGGAUGAAAGACGGUUUCGGCUGUCACUUACAGAUGGACCCGCGGCGCAUUAGCUAGUUGGUGGGGUAAUGGCUCACCAAGGCGACGAUGCGUAGCCGACCUGAGAGGGUGAUCGGCCACACUGGGACUGAGACACGGCCCAGACUCCUACGGGAGGCAGCAGUAGGGAAUCUUCCGCAAUGGACGAAAGUCUGACGGAGCAACGCCGCGUGAGUGAUGAAGGUUUUCGGAUCGUAAAGCUCUGUUGUUAGGGAAGAACAAGUGCGAGAGUAACUGCUCGCACCUUGCCGGUACCUAACCACA